CUGUAAUUUUCUCUCAAAAUCAACAAUACAGUGGUAUGAAAAAGUAUCCGAACCUUUUGUAAUUUCUCACAUUUCUGCAUAAAAUUACCAUCAAAUGUGAUCUGAUCUUUUUCAAAAUCACACAGGUGUAAAAACAGUGUCUGCUUUAACAAAAACCACCCAAACAUUUAUAGGUUUUCAUAUUUUAAUGAGGAUAGCUUGCAAACAAUGACAGAAGGGGAAACAAUAAGUGUUAGGUUUUGUGUUGGUUUUCUCCUAGUGUGACUUGUCCCUGUGAUUGCCCAUUGAUUUCACCUGUUGUACCUGCUCCUUGUGUAUCCUCCAAUCUGCAUCCUCCUGUGCUCACCUGUCCCUCGUUGUGUCGUUACCCCUUGUCUGUGUGUGUAUAUAUGCUCCCGGUUUCUUUUCACUCCUUGUUGCGUCAUUGUCAAUGUCCAUGUGCAAGUCCGAACCUGUUCUCGCUAGUUUUCUCCAAGCCCUCGUGUUUCCCUCAGUAAGUUUUGAUACCCAGCCUUUUGUUAGUAACCUGAGUUUUGUUUGCUGUUGUGUUUUUUGGGAUCUCGUCAUUAUUUGCUGGUACUUUGUAUUUUGCCUGCCGUAAUGAAAUCAUUUUUGCACCGUCAAUCUGCCUCGCCUCCUUUCCCUGCAAUUGGGUCCACACACCACCUGCCUGCCCGUUUCCUGACAAAUAAGUAAGUGAACCUUCUGGGGAGACAUAAAGAGCAAUUGAAACCAAUUUUUACCAAACAUUUUAAGUCAGGGAUGUGCCCAAUCACUGAUGAGUGGUUUAAAGCUAGCUCGCCCACUAUAAAACACAUACCUGGUAAGAAUUGUUUUGAACAGAAGCAUUUUUUUUUUUUUUUAAUGUGCAUCAUGGCUCGGUCAAAAGAGUUGUCUGAAGACCUGCGAUCAAGGAUUGUUGAUAUGUAUAAAGCUGGGAAAGGAUGCAAAACCAUCUUUAAAAAUCUGGAUGUUCAUCAAUCGACAGUCAGAGAAGUUGUCUACAAAUGGAGAGUUAGGCACUGUUACUCUUUUCUGAAGGAGUGACUGUCCACCAAAGAUGACGCUCAGAGUUCAGCGCAGAAUACUCAGAGAGGUAAAAAAAGUGUCUACUAAAGACUUACAGAAAUUACUGGCACAGUCCAAUAUCUCUGUGCACACAUCAACUAUAUGUAAAACUAUGGCCAAGAAUUGUGUUCAUGGGGGGACAUCACGGAGGAAGCCAUUGCUGUCUAAAACAACAUUGCUGCUCGUUUAAUGUUCGCAAAAAGGCACUUGGACACUCCACACACGUUUUGGCAAAAUAUUUUGCGGAUUGAUGAAACCAAAGUUGAAUGUUUGUGGAGGAACCCACAACGUCGUGUGUAGGGAUGGGAAUCGAAAUCCGAUUCCAAUUCGGAACCGGUUCCGAGUGUUUCGAGGCCUCGACAUCACAAUGAAAAAGCCUUAACGAUCCCUUUAACGAGUCCUGAAGACGCAUAUUGCGUUGUGACUGUCUUGUUGUCCAAAUGCAUCAAACUAGCAUGGCGCCAAGAACCACUCGCUCCAAAGUUUGACUACACUUCACCAGGAAAGAGUGUGAAAAUGAAAGGUUACGACGGGUAAGCACGAGCAUUGCAGCCAUAAACAUAACAAUGACAGCACGUAGGUUCAAACGCUUGUAAGUGUGUCUUCACUUCACGAGGAAAAAUUACAACAAAGCGACUUGCAGUCAUUGCAAGGUGGAGAUAACUGCAUCGGGAGGGAAUACGAUUGCGUUGUCCUCACAGAGAGGCUAAGGCUCAUUCCUGGCUAUAAAAAAACAAACAAACAAACAAACAAAAAAAAAGUCCCGGCUAUACAGUUAGCUAAACUCCCAAAUGACGAUGCAGAAGACGUUGGUAUAAUUUGCUGACUUUAUCCAACCAUCACUUGAAGAGUGAAACUAAGAAUAGAAAUGAAACAAACAAUUUCGUCCCCAAUAACAAACAGGUUUGCAUCAAAGUAAAUCAGCGAUGAUUAGCUGCUAAUAACAGUAUGGUUAGCAUUCGUUCGCUAGCAUUAGCACAUCGUUCAAACCACUACACAACUGGACUUAAAUGUUAAGUGUCCGAUCGCGAGUGGAAACACAACAACAACAACACAAAAGAUGAUACAUACAGGCGUUGCCUCUGUAGAUAUUAACAUUAACAAAGAACGUAGGCUCGUAGAAGUGUUUCCCUCUCUCACUCACUUGGAUGCGGCAUUUCUUUUUUGGGUGUAUGCGCGCUCCAGUGGUCCUCAAACUGCGGCCCGCGGCCCAAGUAUGGCCCGCCUCCACAUUUGGUCCGGCCAUUUUGAAUUUUUUUUUUUUUUUUCUCAAUCGUGUUAUUUAUUUUCUGGCCUUUUCCUUGAAGAAUUCAGAGAGGGUUAUUUGGUUAUUAUCUAUUUAAUUAAUAGUGUUUUUAUUAUUAAUUAUUAUUAUUAUUAUAAAGAAUCCAGAAAGGGUUAUUUGAUUGUGGCUUUCUGAAAAACAAUAAUUUUUUACAUUUAUGCACUUCUGCAAUCGUCACACUUUUUCUGUAACAAACUGACCCCGGCCCCUCAUCAGAGAAGGGAAAAGUUAUGUGGCCCUCACAGGAAAAAGUUUGGGGACCCCUGCUUUAACACAUAUUGCCAAAGGCAGAACAAAAACCUAUCUGCCUAUAUAUAUACCAAUAUUUUUUAUUUCUAUUAGAUAAAUGUUUCAGUAAAAUGUUACACAUUCUUGUGUAUUUGCCACUUAUUGCCACAGUUAACAUUGAGGCUUUGGGCCUCUUUUGAUCUCGUUGUGAGUUUGUAAGGUUGUGACUUCUGAUUAAACAAACUCGAUGCCAAACUUGUUCUUUUUCCCCAAAUUAGAAUCGAUAAGAGAAUCGAUAAAGAAUUGAAUCGUUAAGCAAUAUCGAUAAUGGAAUCGGAAUCGUAAAAAUCCUAUCAAUUCCCAUCCCUAGUCGUGUGUGGAGGAAAAAUGGAACAGCUCACAAACAUCAACACCACAUCCCCUCCGUCAAGCACGGUGGAGGAAGAACAUGAUUUUGGGCUGUUUUGCUUCCUCAGGGCCUGAACGAUCAUUCAUGGAAAAAUGAAUUCAAAAGUUUAUCAGGACAUUUUACAGGAAAACAUGAGGCCGUCUGUCAGACAAUUGAAGCCAAAAAGAGGAUGGAUGCUGCAACAAGACAAUGAUCCAAAAUGCAGAAGUAAAUCAACUUCAGAAUGGUUUCAGAACAAAAUACACGUUCUGGAGUGUCCAAGUCAAAGUCCAGACUUGAACCUAAUUGAAAUGCUGUGGCAUGACCUAAAGACAGUGAUUCAUGUCAGACAUCCCAGGAAUCUGACUGAGCCACAGCAGUUUUGUAGAGAAGAAUGGGCCAAGUUUAGUCCUGAUGGAUGUGCCAGACUUAUCUGCAGCUACAGGAAGCAUCUGGUUGAAGUUAUUGCUGCCAAAGGGUGGGGGGGACACAAAAUAUUAAACGUGAUGGUUCGCUUACUUAUUUUCCCCCCCUCUGUCAUUGUUUGCGUACUAUCCUCAUUAAAAUAUGAAAACCUAUAAAUGUUUAGGUUGUUUUACUUAAGACACUGUUUUUUCAUCUGUGGGAUUUUGACAAAGAUCAGCUCGCAUUUCAUAGUGAUUUUAUGCAGAAAUGUGAGAAAUUCCAAAAGGUUCAGAUACUUUUUCAUACUACUGUACAUGCAAGCAUUACUUGUAUAAACAUAAUAAUGUAUACUAGUAUAUCAAGCUAGCAGUACAGUAUUGCUAUCAGCACCACCGUGAACUCAUCCAAUACUAACAUAUGUUUCCGUGUGUUAUGGAAAGGUCAUUCCUGGAAACAAGUCAACGCAUCAUGGCUGUUAUUGCAACCGUGUAGUAAAACAUCUAGGCCGGUCUUUAGAGAGCACGUGAGUGCACUCAGUGGGCAAAGCAUUGUGGAAAUUCUAUGCACAUACUGCAUAUCCUGGGUAGAAGGAUGGUGGUGGGGCUGCUAGCACACAUUAAGACAUACUGUACAUUACAUGUUAGCGCACUAGCGCGCACACAUGCACCACACAGCCUGGGGGGGAUAAAAGGCUACCGAAAGAAACCCCCAUUAGGGCAGGAGUGAAGCGGCAUUCCAUAUAGAAGAAGGGAGGUAUGUGGGUGGUGGGUGGGAGGCAUGCAGGUUAUUGUGAGCAUGCUGGUACUUCCAACUGCACCUCCCUCAAAGGAUACAAGAUAAGAAAUAUGUUUCAUUUUGACUUGCAUGAUUAAAAAAAAUGGUAACAUACCUGGGCAUUCUCUUGAACCUGAGGCGGUAACAUAAGGUAUCAUAUUUUUUACCAGAACAUAUUAUUGGACAGUUUUAGCUUGAAACAUAAAUCUAGUUUUUUUGUAGCUGUUUUUUUAUGUUGUAAAUAGGAGUGUAACGGUAUGCGCAAGUCACGGUUCGGUACGUACCUUGGUACGGGGGUCACGGUUCGGUACGGGUUCGGGACAAAAGGAAUAACAACGUUUUUUUUUUAAUCACAACCUUUUGAAAGUUUGUUCUAUUUGCUAAACUAAAACAGAGCCUUUAAUUAGAGUGCAAAAUUAAUAGAAGAAAACAUCAACACCACCAUCACCAUCAAAACAACACUCUGUUUUUUGUUGGGGUUGACUGAGGUAACUGUUAAAGUCAGGUAGCACUCGCCAGCUUUGCUAACUUUGGUAAGAUAACUCAUUUUCAAUGUUAGAUUACACACAGUUAACUGUAAACCAUUACCAGUGAACAUACACUCCCACACUAGAUAUACUUUUAAAACAGGUAGUCCUCGGCUUACAAACAAGUUCCUUUCCUUCGUUGGCGACUAGAGAUGUGAUGCCGAUCGAUCGGGUCCGAUCAUGUCAUUUUCAAAGUAUCGAAAUCGGCAAAAAAAUAUCGGACAUGCCUUUUUUUUUUUUAAAAUAUAUAUAUAUAUAUAUAUAUAUAUUUUUAUAAAUCCUUUUCUAAUUGUAUUUAACAUUACAUACAUAAUAUCUUACACUCAUCCAGAGUCUUUAGUUUUGGCUUAAGGUAGAGUUAUCAAAUUUAUCCCGAUAAUGGCGGUAAUCAAUUUUUUAAAAAUUGUAUCACGUUAAAAUAUUUAACGCAAUUAAUGCAUGCGCUGCACGACCCACUCACGCAUUGUCGCGCUCAAUCUGUAAUGGCGCCGUUUUACCUAUAUAGAGAGCUAAAAGGCAGCAUAAAAUGAGUAGAGUGGAUUUUGGAAGCCUUUGGAGCCUUUUUUUAAUUGGCUAAAGCCUUACAAUCCCUCUUCCUACGAUUAGAGCUAUCGUGGGAAGCAAUGUGGGGAAGCAAGGUAGUAAUUGAUCUUUUUCUUAACACCCUAUGUUAUCUCCCAACGCAGAGAAGAUAGAUCAAUUGGUAGCACUACGCACAGUCAUGGUUCCACUUCCCAUCAUGCAUUUGGGCAUGGCUACAGUAUCAUUUACUGAAAGCUCAACAAAUACACUAGAUGGCAAUAUUUAGUCAAAAUAUACAAAGUCACAUUUGUCCUUUAAGAAUUACAAGUCUUUCUAUCCGUGGCUCCCUCUCACAGAAAGAAUGUUAAUAAUGUAAAUGCCAUUUGAGCAUUUAUUGUCAUAAUAAAUACAGUACUUAUGUACUGUAUGUUGAAUGUAUAUAUUCGUCCGAGUUUUAUUCAUUUUUUUCUUAAUGCCAAAAUGUACAUGAUCGGGAAAAAUUAUCGGGAAUGACUGGAAUUGAAUCGGGAGCAAAAAAAAGCAAUCGGAUCGGGAAAUAUCGGGUUCGGCAGAUACUCAAACUAAAACGAUCGGGAUCGGAUCGGGAGCAAAAAAACAUGAUCGGAACGACCCUAUUGGCGACAUAACUGUAAUUUCCGCAUGAAUCGUAAUUAACCGUUUAAGAACCCCUAAAUACCCCCCAGAUCUCAAAAUAACUAUCCAAAAACAUGUAUUAGACGUCAAUGUACCAUCCUCGCCAGGAAGAAAAAAACGACUGGAGACAAAAUAGCGGAUGAGACUCCGGCGUCGUGAAGUGAAAUCACAUAAGUUGGGAAGUCGAAAUCAAAUAAGUCGGGACGUCGUAACCCGUGGACUACCUGUAUUGCUAAAAAUAAAAAUCAUUAAAAUGCGCAAAUCUUUCCAAAAUUGAAAAAGCAUAUCUUGAAAUAGUGCAAAAAUAAAUACUCACUCAGUUUUUCAAUGCCGUUAUCCUCGGGCUAGAGCAAAGUAAACAUUUACUGAUUUGAAAAUAAAACAUACCGUAAUUUACCGAAUACAACGCGCACUUUUUUCCCCCAAAAUCAACUUGUAAAAUCGUGGUUCGCAUUAUACACGGGUACAGGGAUGGAGACAGAAAUAUAUAUUUAUAAAAAACGAUUUUUAAAAAAUUUAUUGACGCGGCCAUGUUGUGUUGAAGACACGUAUGCGGGGAUCUGUUGCCGACCAUUACGGUACGUGACGUCACCAUUUUGUUUCAGUAAUACUUCACUCUGAUCGGUCGAAUGAUUUCGUAAUUGUUAAAUUCUGCUUUUUUCACUCUUCAUAAAGCACAGAAUUUAGUUUCUUGAACUCAUUUGAGUCAACGUUUAUUGCAGCUCUGCAACUCGGACCAUAACAAAUGUAACACAACACAGACUUCCUGUGUCCGUCAACUAUAUCUGUCCCUCAGGAAACUCAAACCCAAAUAACAAUAGUUCCUCUUGUUACUGUAGCGAUGCGCUAGUUCUGCUAGUUCUCUAGCUCUUUUUUCUUGUAUUCUUCUAUUUAUUGGUGCUAAAAUUAGGGUGCGCGUUAUAUACGGGUACAAUAAUUUCCCCUAGAUUUUACAAGUAAAUUUGGGGUGCGCCAUAUAUUCGGGAAUUUACGGUAAAUACACUUCAAAAAAGUGUGAGUAAUACUGCAUUUAAUAGUUCCUCCUCUGUACAUUCGCCAUAACUUUCCUAGUAGUGAUUAAUGAUAACGUCUUCUUUAUGUGUUUUGGUUUGUCUACUUUUCCCCGUCAUGUUGGUUGUUGGCUUAGGCACAUUACCUCUACCGCCCCCUGGAAUAAAGGAGGACUAACUCCAGCAUGGAUUUUUGUUUGUUUUUCUCGAACGUGUUCGGUAUUCGUAUACAGUACAGGAGGAAUACAAAUACCGUUACACUGUAGUUGUAAACUAAUGUGUGGUCACAUGACAAAGUUGACCAUACUUAUUACAAAAAACGUGUUUCAACAAUUGUUUAACGUGAACAUGUAACAAUUAGGAUGCCAUUGAGAAUCUCAUGAUCUCUCAUCUUAUAUAAAUUAGGUCAAAAUUGUCAAAGUUGAUGUUUUUAUUCAAGUCACGUUAAAUUUAAAGUGCAAUUGACACAAGAAAGCAUAUUUUCAUAUUCAUAUUACACGCAGUAUUUUGUGCUCCUGAAUGAAAUGUGCUUGGAUGUGUGUGGAAGCGAUUGAUAUAUUUAUUUAUUAAACUUUUUGAAUCCCGCGCCAUGAAAAUGAGUGCCUUCCAGCUAGAGUUGAGGAAGAAGGCGGAUGUGACGUUAGAGCAGUGCUUCUCAAUUAUUUUCUGUUACGCCCCCCCAAGGAAGACGUAAAUGUUUCGCGCCCCCCCAAACUUUGCCGCCACUGUAGAUAGUAUUAUUUAUCUAUAAUAUUACUAUUAUAAGUACACCUCUGCCUCACAUUGUAUCCUUUUUUUCUAUUAGAGAAAAUAACAGAGAUCAACUUAUAAAGUAUUAACAUUGUUUUGUUUGCAACAGAAAACACUUAACGCGAAUCAAUUUGCUUGAAUUAAAAAAAAAAAAAAAAGUCACAUCCAAACAGUAAAAAUACACUCAAGGUAAAUUUUUGACCAUUUGAUACUGAAAAAUAAAAUCAGUAAAUAAUAACAAAUCCAAAUUGAUUAGAAACAUGAACUCAUGAGGACAAUAUGCCAAAAAAUUGACCGAAAAAACAAAACUGAAUAGAAGAAGAAAAAAAAAGUGUCUUUGUACAGAAGGACAGUUUUUAUUUUCGCUGCUCGCUGCUCACAGUAUCACCUCCAGUUUGUAAUGGUGUGGGGUUAUUUUGCACUGAGCAUGCUAACAGUGCUCACUGGUUUACUGUUAUAACACUGACAAAGCGGGACGAUUGUUGGCAAUAUCCGGCACGUUUUCGCUGAAAAACAACGAAGCGGCUUAUCAAUUAGAUUGGGGUCUAAUGUCUUUAAGUGGCGUCUUAAUUGAUUUGGCUUCAGGCUGUCCGCUAUAAUCAUUUUUAGACACAGUAAACAGUGGUCUUUCCUCAUCUACCGCUGUAUUAAAUGUCAAAGCUAAAAGGCAAACGGCCCGAAAAAAGCGCAUUCUCGGCGGCCGAGGGAGAACCGUAGGUGAGGGCGGUCGUCGUGACGAUCCCAAGCCGAAAAUGGCACUUCUCGGGCGGACAUGUGAGAACCGGAGAAGCUGGCCGGAAAACGGCUUUUGAAAACGGCGCACAGCUCUCCAGCUCUUCAUGAGUCUCUUCCGUGUGCUCUUGCUUACUUCAAAAAUACUGCGCGCACUUUGAAAAUGAGAGCGCCACUGCCACCCACUGAGUGGAUGUGCAAGUACACUUUAUUCUAGUACGGCAAAAAAAAAAAAAAGCAUGUUCCCCGAGGUCACGCGCGUCACCCCUGGCAUCGCUCUGCGCCCCCCUGGGGGGGCGCGCCCCACUAUUUGAGAAGUACUGCGUUAGAGAAUGAGAUCAUCUUCAUUAUACAGCCAUACUAUUAUUGUAUGGAGAAAUACUACAGAUUCAGCUGAUUCUCCGGAAUAAUUUGUUUAUUUUUCACGUCACGCCAGCCCAAUGUGCUGCAUACUUUUGUUGCUACACCAGGGAGAGUGGUGUGAGCCUUUUUGGGUUUCCAACAAAUCCUGUUCACCGCAAAGAAUGGGCAAAACAAGUCCGACAAUCGAGGGACCAUUGGACGGACGAGGAAGUGAGCAAGUUUUAUAUGACGUCAAAACUGGGAAUAAUGGGAUAGCAGGGCGUGCUUGCAUUCAUCGGCCGGCGAACAUGGCGUGUGACAAGCCGCUCGAGAGUGAGACAUUUUCGGCGUUCAUUCCCUUGCUGCGCCCUCGCGGGACUGCUUACCGGGGCCGAAGCAGGGGAAUGACGAGCUGUAAUAGUCCACUGAAAGUUGCUUGGCUGAUCGGUGAAGGCAAUCACUCCUGCCACCGCGUGUGACAUGAGUCGGGGUACUUUUAUGUGAUUUUUUUUUGUUUGAAAGGCGGGGAAGAGGCUUGGAAGAGCCGCUUGGUUCAGUUUAACAUGUAGCCUAGCUCUCACGCCUCCGGUUAUGUUUACGCUCUUUCCUCCGUCUCCAAGUCCGGCAGGGAAAUAACAAAAGCAUCGAACAACUCCGGUGGCAUAAAAAACCAGUUCGGAGGUUUAAGAAGUCGGCAGUUUUUGACAAUUAUGCAGUAAUUUAGCCUUGUCGUACUGACUAAAUGUAGUGCAUGCUCGAAGGAAAAUUCUUGGAAGUCAAGACGAGUUACAAACAUUCCGUUUUUUUUACAGUUUUUAGCCAAGGCUAUCUGUUAGUUUAUCUUUUCACUACAAUUUUUUGGUUACAGACCCUUCUUCCUGUCAUUUACUUUUCAUUUUACAAACACUCAGCACCAGUUUCAGGUCACAUCCUAAUUGGCAGUCAGUCUGUUUACGUCACCGUCACAAAAUCCGUGGCUCGGCCAAACUUGAUGUUGACCACAAAUAAGGAUUUGUCCCCGUAAAUAUUGAACGGGUCCAUUGUCGACUUUGCCGUUUUCAGAGCAGAUUAAGGAGCCAAAAUCCCCUAUAAUCGUUCAGAAAAAUCUUCCAGAAACAGCCAACAAUUGGGUGUUUGCUGACUUUGGAGGAAAAAGGCGCAAAUUUGGAUCAAUUAUCUUUUUGAGUCUGUUUGAACUUGCUCAAAACAGAAUAUCAUUUUCUCGAAAUGAUAGGUCGCCGCUGUGUGUUCACGUUAUUGCUCUCCCUGGUGCUAGCUGACCACUUUCUCCGAGGGUGAAGCACAAUUGUAAAAAUAUUACUUGUCAGUAUGUACUUUAGGACAAGCACAUUGUAUUGUAGAUAAUUCACACUGUACAUACAAAACACAUGCUUUUGGCAUUGGCCCUGUAAAACUGUAAAUGAAUGAUUUGUGUGACCCAUUGUUGUCUUUGUCAACGAUGACGAAAAUACUUCGUCGACAGAGCUAAAAACAUGUCAUGGGAGACUAAAACAUAACGAAAUGAAUGUUUUCAUCUGACGAGACGAAAAUGCGCCAUAGUUUCCGUUAUAUGUUCACAAUGUGUGACAUUUUCUUAUUGUACAUUUAGUUCAUCAGCAUUUAUCGGAGCAUAUUUGGGUCGAGUCAAUCAUGUGAUAUUAAGACAUUAACUCAACCACUACUGAAGACGUAUAAACAAUGAUGUUCUUCAAACCAGGCUGUGCUUGCUUGUUUUGAAACACAAGGUAAAGAUUUGUAAGAAAACAAAUCUUCACAAGAGAGAAUACGCAUUGUUGCUUUAGCCUUAAAAGUUAUGUGCCGAGUGAUCGCACACCAAAUGUAACUUGUAGCAUUAGCGUUCGCGUUAGCUUUAGCAUGAACUUUCGUGUAGUGUGCGUCCUCUUAAGCUGUUUUGUUGGUGUCGGCUACGGCUUACCGUACUGCUCUGUGCUUCCAGUUGCAGAUAAAACCAAAAACCUCACGAACUUAGCAUUGUCCUUGCAGAAGCUAAAAUACUGUUUGGAAUUUUUACAUUUAUUUUUGGACUAAAAUCUUUGAAUUUUUAUUAACGAAAGCAUUUGGAGUAUUCGUCGACGAAAACGAGGUGAGGUCUAAAACAUUUUGAAAUGACUAAAACAGUGUUUUUCAACCGGUGUGCCGUGAGAGAUCGUCAGGUGUGCCGCGAGAAAUUAUCCAAUUGUAUUUUAUUUAUUUAUUUAUUUAUUUUUAUACGAAGGAAGUAGUAGGCAGAAAGUUCUCGGUUGUGUGCAGAUGAGCUAGGUAUUGCUUGUGUUGCGUUCAAGAACUGCUCGGAUUUCUAGCCAUCAGCCACUUUGCUGUCCAGGAUAAUGUGGACCCCAGCACUAGUGAUGUGUCGGUUGCGAACGAGCCGGUACAAAGAGCCGGCUCUUUGAAGUGAACGAUGAGAGCCGGCACCCUCCCUCGAGAGCCGGCUCUGUCAUUUUGCCUCCCCCCUCUCUCUCUACCUCUCUAUGUCGCUAUCUCUUUUCACGUGUCUGAAGCGAGGUUUGGCAGUGGCUCAGCUGCUGUGCUCAGAGAGGGAGAGAGGAAGGGAAAGGGGAGGGUCGAGGGGCUUAGUACUAGGUAGUGCAUGCUGAGCACAUGCUCCGUCGCGUCUGCGCAGCCACAGACAGACACAGGAGAAGGAAAGGACGACAACACUAACACAGUUUGUAGGCCUUCAAGAUAAGCCGAAAACGCAGUAACAUUUGGAGACAUUUUAAUUGGUCAGAUGACAAUAAGGCAGAAUGCCGUGUCUGAAAACUUAACCCCUUAUAGCCUGAUGUAUCACAUUUGUGUAUCACUUAGAAUUUCAUUAUUUUGAGACUCUAAUUUAGAAUUUUUUUUUUUUUUAAUGAUGGAUGCAAGUCAACGCACUCAUCUGCAGGUUCCAUCAGAAAAAAAAUCUGGAUUUAGCUAAAAGACUGGACAAAUAAUUACUGAGAGAAGGAGCCGGAUCAGCCCGUCCAAGUUGAAGUAUUUAGUUUUCUUGAAUGCAAAUUUAAAAUAAAGCAAGGAGUAGCUUAUGUUUGUU